rnacentral:rRNA from 1 species
GAUGAACGCUGGCGGCGUGCCUAAUACAUGCAAGUCGAGCGAACAGACGAGGAGCUUGCUCCUCUGACGUUAGCGGCGGACGGGUGAGUAACACGUGGAUAACCUACCUAUAAGACUGGGAUAACUUCGAGAAACCGGAUCUAAUACCGGAUAAUAUAUUGAACCGCAUGGUUCAAUAGUGAAAGACGGUUUUGCUGUCACUUAUAGAUGGAUCCGCGCCGCAUUAGCUAGUUGGUAAGGUAACGGCUUACCAAGGCAACGAUGCGUAGCCGACCUGAGAGGGUGAUAGCCCACACUGGAACUGGGACACGGUCCAGACUCCUAAGGGAGGCAGCAGUAGGGAAUCUUCCGCAGUGGGCGAAAGCCUGACGGAGCAACGCCGCGUGAGUGAUGAAGGUCUUCGGAUCGUAAAACUCUGUUAUUAGGGAAGAACAAAUGUGUAAGUAACUAUGCACGUCCUGACGGUACCUAAUCAGAAAGCCACGGCUAACUACGUG